rnacentral:sRNA from 24 species
UGAGUGGGUAGUGGUAACGGGCUAAAAUUGGUAGGGCCAAUCAAGGGGUGGGGACAACAAAGGGAAGUGAAAAGGCAAUGGCAUAAUGCCAUUGCCUUUGAUGUCGGG